CUCCAGGCCAGAAUACUGGAGCGGGUUGCCAUUUCCUCCUCCAGGGGAUCUUCCGACCCAGGAAUCGAACCCAGGUCUCCUACAUUGCAGGCAGACUCUCUACCAACUAAGCUACGAGGGAAGCUUUCUAAGCCAACUCAU